rnacentral:lncRNA from 1 species
CGUAAACAUAACCUAAAAGUAUAUCAUCCAUCAUUCACAUCCAAGCAUCAAUCAAAACACAAUGCAUACCAUGAUAUUAUCUCAUCCAUUUGAACAUUAGACAUAAAACAAAACAACCUAACAAGUCAUCAACAACAAACCAUUAACAUCACAUGCAUACAUAUAUAUACAUAGCCUUCAAAAUGCCAACCAACAUAAUGACUUAUAAAUAUAAAAAAAUUCCUAGGUACAUGCUAAGACCAAAAGAACAAUUCACCAACACUUGAGUUCGGGAUUGCCUCUGGAUGUUGAGUUGAUGAUUGAUUCUUUAAGUACCUAACUUGCGCAUGGAAAACAAAAUCAUAUGUUGAUAUAACUCAAUGGUAUUUCUAUAAUAUGAACAUUUAAAACAUAAUAUAAGUCAUAAUGAUGCAUAAACUUAAUAAAGAUAAUAUGCAAUAUAUAAACUCAAUAGGCUAAUUCACAUAGUCAUUAAUCCCAGUAUGCUCAUUUUACCAGUAUUAAGACAUAGCAAUCACAUUUCAUAAGUCAUUUGCAAAUUAAACUAAUGUAAUGGCACAUUUCAUCUCAAUUUCUCAUUUCAAGUGUUCAUUGAACAAAUACAAUCAAUAUUCAUAGUUCAAUCUAUUAUUUCAUAUUACAUUUCACAUUUCAUUUCAUUUCAUAACAUUUAUUAUUUCAGUAGCAUCGCUAUUUCAAUAGCAUUUCCAUUUCAAUAUCAUUAUCUUGAUUUCACCAUUUAUUUCCCUAUUAACACGACUUAAACUUGAAUGGAUACAAGGAUCCAACCAACACACCAGUUUAGCACCCAGUGCCUCAUCCAAUAAAUCUGAAACAAUUAGUUAUGCCUAGUGUUAUAAAUAAGUUUGACACCCAGUGUCUUAUUGGUUAAACAGAAGCAAAUUGGCACCCAAUGACUUGUAGUCGAAGUAACCCUGAACUCUUCCUAUCCUAUGACAUGCCAACUAUAUUCGACUCUGCUCGGACAGUUAAUAGGGUAUUUAAUUCAUUCUUCUAUAUCAUUCAAUAACUCAAUUCACAUCAAUUUAAUCAUGAACUCAUUCAUUCAAACAUAUGGAAACAUCAAAUAUCUCAUUUUGUAGUCAAUUUCCAUAUUUAUAUGAAUAUACGCAUGUUUUUCACAUAUAAUCAAUUUAGCCCCUAUAAUCAUCAAUCAAUUCAAAUCAUCUCAAUUAAACAAGGAACCUCACCUUACAUUCUUACCAUGCAUAACCAAAUCAAAAUGCAUCAAUUACAAGUUAGUUCGGAUUAUAAAAACACAAACCGUAAACUCUAAGCUAUUCGUUGAUAAAUUUGUCUUUUCCUUUCUUUUUCGAGGAAUACAGGUCGACGUUAGCCACAGAUUAGAAAAACAUAAUAAAUUAUCAAUAAAACGUCAAUUUCACAUUCAAUUUCUAAUUUAUGAAAAUUUUACAUUUUAUUCAAUUUAGUACCUAAAAUCGAGACUAACAUAACUUUCACAUUUAGCCUCAAAAUUUUAUACUAUUUUCAUUCUAGGUCUAAUUUAACUUUAUUUUUCACAUUUCUACCACUAAAUUUAAAAUUUGUUUAUUUUAGACCCUAUUGCACAAAUUUAACAAUUGACUUUACAAUCUAGUCCUUAGUCAAUUCUAAACUUAAAAUUUAUCAAAAUAACACCUCAAACUCCAAAUAUUCAACAAUGGUAACAUUCUAAAUCUUUAACAGUUCUAAAAAUUAUGACAUGGGUCAGCUAAUUUGGAGUACCGAGAUUCCAAAAACAUAAAAAUUACAAGAAAAUGACUAAAUUGAACUAACCAAUUUAAGGUUUGAAACUUUGAAAACCUAGUCGUGCCCAAUCUCCCUUUCUAUUUUGCUUCGAAAUAUUUUGGAUGAAAAGGAAAUAAUGUUUCUCUUUCAAUCCACUAAUAUCAUCUUUUAAAUUUCUUUUAAUUUUAUUUAUUUUUAUUUUAUUAUUAUUUCUUUAAUUUAACUAAAAUUUAUAAUAUAAAAUAUAUAUAACACUAAGUUUUAACCAGUCACAUAUAUAUUAUUAUAUAAUGGUUUAUUUACUUUAUAAGUCUUAUAUAUUAAAUUCUAAUUGUAAUCUCUUAAUAAUUCUUACUUUAAUCACUUACGCGAUUUAGUCCCUAUACUCUAAUUAAACACUAUUUCGAUGAAAUUACCUAUCCGAAAUUCAAUUCACUUCUAAUGAAGCUUCGUAAAUAUUUAAUAAAGAUAUUUACGAGUUUGGUUCACAGAAACGGAGUCUCAAAACUAUACAUUCUGAUACCACUAACUUUCAGGUCAUUACAAAGAGACCUAAUAUCCAUAAUUUGCCUAAGUUUUUUCAACGAGCUACCACAACGUUGUGAAUCUGAGUCCGCAGCACAAACAACGACAACACCUGCAUUAUCAAUAAGGUUACCGACAACAUCACUUUUCAUUGCAUGGGAGCUUACAGCACCUUCCUGAUCACCGGUAGAAAAGGAAGAACACUUGCAAGGUAGCAACUUACAAUAUGAAUACAAAAAAAUUUACGAACUCCGCUUUUUACCCUAACAAAAUCAGCCCCAAUUUGUCAAUAGCGCCAUGGGGCCAAGCAAGCUCUGCAGACAACACAAGAUUGGGGUUCACACCACUCGUAAUGUUAACCACCCGAAAACCAUUAGGAAUUGACUCCAAAAGACAGUACCAAAAUAUAUUUCGUACAGUUAGGAAGUGUUCUAAUCUCAGCACGUGACCCUUACAUAACUUUGCAUAUUGGGUAGCGGGGAUCUCAAAAUCAAAGGGUUGCCGCUGCGUGCAAAUGUUUGUACUCGGAAGAGACCAUGUAAUCUGGAAACUAAAAUCAUCUUCAAACUUCUAUUUUAGUUUUAUAGAUUUGCACUGAUUAAUCCGAAGAUUUGACGACCAAUUUCGAAUAAUUGAAUCAAACCCUUCCUAAGGAAAAAAUAAGUCAUCCCCCGCGAAUUCUCUCGAUUUGAAACUUUCAACUAGUAAAUACUUUGAAAAACACACAAUAGGGGAGGUUCAUCUCGAAUACAAUAAUUAAUAAAAUAAGCAACAAGUAUCCACCAAGAAAAACUCGUGAGCUAUCCUGGUGAAAUUUGAUACUCUUGCAGCAUGGUAUAGAAAAACGGAUGAAGGGGGAGGUGGAAGCCCGCCUCUAGUAAAUGCAAAGGAAACAAAAAGCUUUCUUCAAUAUCGUUUAAUCUUCUCUCACCUUUUUUAAUAUCAAAAUCGAAGGUGAAAUUUGACAACUUAAUUCUGCAAAUAAAAAGAUGCCAAAUCAUCUCCACCUUAGUCAUCGUACACCAAUGUAUGUUCUCCUCUAUGAGAACACAAGCAUUGCGCUGCCUCUUGCAACCACCACCUUCAACCUCCACCCUAAAUCAACAACCCUGGUUGCCACGGCUCGUUCGACCACCCCACCCUAUUAUAACUCUAGCCAUAUUAAACAAGCAAAUGCAAAACAAUAUGAGUAAUAGUCGAUUAGCUUACCUAUUAGCAGAUAAUUCCCUCGUUCUGCCAAACAUACACGAUGCCCAGAUCGAAUAGUUCCAAAAAAUUGACAAGGAAGAGAACAACAACAAACUGGGAUAGGAAGAAAAUAUUUGGAAAGAAAAAUUAAAACAAAACAAGAUAUGGAAACAAAAUAUUUAUGAAAAGUAAUUUAAGGAUUCAAGCAAAAUAAGGAAAUGAAAUAUUUAUGAAAAGUAAUUUAGAGAUUCAGGCAAAAAAAUUCUCCCUAAAAAGGGAAAAAAUCAAUUAAAUUUUAGGAAAACAAAUAAAAGAAUAAAAUCCUCAAACAGAAUUUAAGGAGAAGCAAUCUAGGGUUUAAAAAAUUAUUUUACCUUAAGGAAACGAACCGUCUGAAACUUACUCAAUAAGUCUCUACUAAAAAAAUGCCUGAUAAGCCCCCAUUUAUACGAUCUACAUGUGUAAGUUGGUCUCAGAAGGGCCAUUUUAUAACCCUUCUUUGACAAAGUGUGGGACAUAUUGUUAUAGAGUACUUUAGAAAUUGAAAAUCGACCCAGUCACAUGAAACAAAAGGCCUGAUCCAAUUUGCGAGUAGCCAGGGCCUCGCGAAGUGCCAACACCUCCUUGACUUACAAAGUGCCAAGGUGGUCCCUCGCCACCUCGCUAAG